GUGCUCGCUUUGGUAGCGCGUAUAUUAAAAUUGGAACAAUACAGAGAAGAUUAGCCCCUGGGCAAGGAUGAUACAGACAUUCAUGAGGCAUUCCUUUUUUUA